CUUGGAUCAUCAAAGUUGCACAAGAAGAAGGGAUCAAAUUCGUUGUUGCGGAGGAGGAGGUGAUCAUCAUCAUCAUGUGUUAGAAACGACAGUGUGGUGGGACCUGAACACGUGUCCAGUUCCGGCUGGUGUAGACCCUCGUUGUGUCCGUGCGUGUAUAGAAUCUGCCUUGGAGAAGCAGAUUGGUCGUCGUUCUGCAGUCAGCAUAUCUAUGCUUUUGGAAACCUAGAUUACAUCUCUAGUGACCUCUUGCAAAACAUCUCUUCCUCUGGAAUCAUUCUGUCUCACGCCCCCUUCGGUGUGCACGACUUAGUUGAAUUUCUGGACGAUGAGCUUAACAAACCACAUCUGGAUUCACUACUUUUGUUGCAUAUCCAAAACGUGCUCGCCUAGCUGUCCCUCUUCCCCAGCUACGAGGGUUUGCCCAAGACUUUGACAAAGUGUUUGCCAAAGGGUUUGUCUGGGAAACUUUAUUGACUGAUCAUUUCCGUGAGAAACCUCUCUGCAUUUGCAACAUAUGCGAUGAUGUUUACCAAGCAUGUGACGAAGGAAUUCAUCACUCAUCUCAAGAGUGAAGAGCACAGAAACGAGUUCCUUGCAAUUGACCACUACGGUAAGCCUACACAUUUUUGCCAAGUCUGCAAUUAUCCCGCCUACGACGAAUAUAACCUGAUCCUCCAUAACCAAAGUGAAGAACAUAAUCGCAAGCUGGUUGAGAAACAGGCUCAAGAAGAGGAGGACUGCGAGGGCAGGAAGACUAAUCCAGAAUUGGAUCUCUGACUAGGAGAGAAACAAGAAGCAAUCUCUUUGAACGAGGCAAACAAGAAGAGGCAGCCUAAGGAAGACGAAGAAGCUAGAGUCUGUGCAUCCCCAUGGGGUCUUUGUGUUAAAGAGUUUUACUAAAUAAUCAAUUAAAUCAAGACGAGUGGAGAAUUAAUGAGAACAUGGUCUCUCUAUCAUUUAUUUUUGUAAUAUCACUUUUGUUGAGAACACAAUCAAGAGCUUCACCAUUGGCCAAAAUAAUUAAGUAGAAUGUGAGAGACUAGUCUUUACUUAAGAAACUGUAAGGGGCUAUGCA